GCAAAACUAUCUUUCACCUCAACUUUCUAACCUCAAGGAAACUCCCGCACCUAUAUAGUACCGCUCAAAACUUCCUCAGUCCUUCACACCCGCAAGGGCGAAUUUUCCGCUCACAACAGAAAAGCUUACCCCCUAUCCCUUUUGCACCAUGGAGAAGCAACACAAAAUUAAAAACCUUAAACUCCCGAAUAACUAUGAGCUACUAAACCUUAAAAAUCAAUGUAUCAUAAUUGAUAUAGUAACCUUUAGUAGGAGUAAUAAGCCUUCCAUAUAGUUAGAUAGCUGGUUUUCCACCAAAAAGCAUCGAAGUGCUGCCCUAUAGAAUACCACCACGUUUACAACCAUUAAUAGGCGCUAAUCUUUCGAGGACUAGCUCGGAAGAAGGAUAAAAAUACAAGAAUCAAAUCACCUCAAAAGUAGGCCUAAAAACAGCCACCAAAUAGCGUUCUAGCUAAUCACUACACACUAAAAUAACACCAAAACCAGAAUUUUUCCCGUUAGAGGAACUCAGCGUUAAACACACCCCGCAAAUGUACCGGCAUCCUAUUAGUAUUUCAACCAACUCUUUUUCCCAAAAAUUAAAGAAACUAAAUCUCAAACCAACACAACACAAACCUAUAUAAAGCGAACUCGGCAAAUACGUUCUCUGCCUGUUUACCAAAAACAUCGUCUUUUGAUUCCACAUAUAAAAGAUAAUGCCUGCCCAGUGAGAAAUUAAACGGCCGCGUUAGCGUGAGCGUGCUAAGGUAGCGUAAUAAAUAGCCUCUUAAUUGGAGGCCAGUGAAAGGCAACACUAGGAACACCUGUGCUUUUUAUACCAGAAAAACUUUUCAUCUGAGUGAAAAGACUCAGAUAAUGAAGGAAGACGAAAAGACCCCGCGGAACUUUACCUUUUCCUGCACUCCUGCCCAGGAGCACAAAAGUGCAACAGGUUUGAUUGGGGCAAUCUCGGAACUACCCAAGCUUCCGACCACAUCUAGACACAUCUAAAAUUUGGUAUAGACAAAAUAGUAGUUACCCCGGGGAUAACAGCGUCAUCCAACUUAAGAGUACACAUCGAAAGUUGGGUUUGCGACCUCGAUGUUGGCUUAAGGUUAUCCACAUUAGUGCAACCGCUAUGAAAGGACAGUCUGUUCGACUUUUAUACCCUUACACGAGCUGAGUUAAGACCGGCGCAAGCUAGGUUGGUUUCUAUCUCCUUUAUUAACACCCUUCUUGACUGUACGAAAGGACCCCAAGAGGUGCACCCAAUCCAAGCAUACUAUAAAACUCCUCCUGCCAAUGCAAUAAAACUUCACUA
rnacentral:rRNA from 1 species